UCGUUCUGAUAUUGAGGCGUCAGCAAAACGCUGAUGGGGUGUUUAAUUCGCCAGUACCGAGUACUGGUUGAUCACCUGUAAAAACUCAACAUGGCAUUACCCUGCUACACAAUAUCAAACG
rnacentral:sRNA from 25 species